CUGGAAUGGUUCCUGACUAAAAUCUAUAUGGCCUCUGGAUUGGACUGCGGCCGAUCAGGCUGUUGGUGAGGUAAUGGCCCACCAAACCUGUAACCGGUACGGGCUCUGAGAGGAGGAGCCCGGAGAUGGGCACUGAGACAAGGGCCCAGGCCCUAUGGGGCGCAGCAGGCGCGAAACCUCUGCAAUAGGCGCAAGCCUGACAGGGUUACUCUGAGUGACUUUCGCUAAGAAAGUCUUUUGGCACCUCUAAAAAGGGUGCAGAAUAAGGGGUGGGCAAGUCUGGUGUCAGCCGCCGCGGUAAUACCAGCACCCCGAGUGGUCGGGACGAUUAUUGGGCCUAAAGCGUCCGUAGCCGGUUCUGCAAGUCCCCCGUUAAAUCCAGCUGCUCAACAGAUGGGCCGCGGAGGAUACUACAGAGCUAGGAGGCAGGAGAGGCAAGCGGUACUCAGUGGGUAGGGGUAAAAUCCGUUGAUCCAUUGAAGACCACCAGUGGCGAAGGCGGCUUGCCAGAAUGCGCUCGACGGUGAGGGAUGAAAGCUGGGGGAGCAAACCGGAUUAGAUACCCGGGUAGUCCCAGCCGUAAACGAUGCAGACUCGGUGAUGGGUUGGCUUCGCGCUAACCCAGUGCCGCAGGGAAGCCGUUAAGUCUGCCGCCUGGGUAGUACGGCCGCAAGACUGAAACUUAAAGGAAUUGGCGGGGGAGCACCACAAGGGGUGAAGCCUGCGGUUCAAUUGGACUCAACGCCGGU
rnacentral:rRNA from 1 species